rnacentral:rRNA from 1 species
UYUUAUAAAUUGGGACUAGUAUGAAUGGAUUUAUGGGGCAAAUCUUUCUUAGAUUAAAUGUUAUAAAUAAUUUUUUUAGUGAAGAAACUAAAAUAAUGAUGAGGGACGAGAAGACCCUAUUAAGCUUUAUAUAAUAUAUUUUGUUGGGGAAACAAAAGAGAAAAAUUUCUUUUGAUAAAUAUGCUGAUAAGUAAAGAUUUGUUUUUAAUAAUAAUAGAAUAAGUUACUAUAGGGAUAACAGCAUAAUUUUUUUUUAAAGUUCUUAUUUACAAAAUAGAUUAUGACCUCGAUGUUGGAUUAAAAAUAUUAUAUAAUGUAGUUGUUGUAUUAAUUAGUCUGUUCGACUAUUGAAAUUUUA